GACGAACGCUGGCGGCGUGCCUAAUACAUGCAAGUUGAGCGAUGAAGCUUGGUGCUUGCACCAAUUUGAAGAGCAGCGAACGGGUGAGUAACGCGUGGGGAAUCUGCCUUUGAGCGGGGGACAACAUUUGGAAACGAAUGCUAAUACCGCAUAACAACUUUAAACAUAAGUUUUAAGUUUGAAAGAUGCAAUUGCAUCACUCAAAGAUGAUCCCGCGUUGUAUUAGCUAGUUGGUGAGGUAAAGGCUCACCAAGGCGAUGAUACAUAGCCGACCCGAGAGGGUGAUCGGCCACAUUGGGACUGAGACACGGCCCAAACUCCUACGGGUGGCAGCAGUAGGGAAUCUUCGGCAAUGGACGAAAGUCUGACCGAGCAACGCCGCGUGAGUGAAGAAGGUUUUCGGAUCGUAAAACUCUGUUGGUAGAGAAGAACGUUGGUGAGAGUGGAAAGCUCAUCAAGUGACGGUAACUACCCAGAAAGGGACGGCUAACUACGUG
rnacentral:rRNA from 1 species